AACGAACGCUAGCGGCAUGCCUAACACAUGCAAGUCGAACGAGACCUUCGGGUCUAGUGGCGCAUGGGUGCGUAACGCGUGGGAACCUGCCCUUAGGUUCGGAAUAACUCCCCGAAAGGGGUGCUAAUACCGGAUAAUGUCCUCGGACCAAAGAUUUAUCGCCUUUGGAUGGGCCCGCGUUGGAUUAGCUAGUUGGUAGGGUAAAAGCCUACCAAGGCGACGAUCCAUAGCUGGUCUGAGAGGAUGAUCAGCCACACUGGGACUGAGACACGGCCCAGACUCCUACGGGAGGCAGCAGUGGGGAAUAUUGGACAAUGGGCGGAGGCCUGAUCCAGCAAUGCCGCGUGAGUGAUGAAGGCCUUAGGGUUGUAAAGCUCUUUUACCCGGGAUGAUAAUGACGGUACCGGGAGAAUAAGCUCCGGCUAACUCCGUG
rnacentral:rRNA from 1 species